GAAAUAGUAGUAGCGCCUCUAUAAUACCAAUGGUACUAGUAUCCUAAAUACCAGUAGCGUGCAAAUUUGUCCCCACGCCACUACUAACGAAUUAAGAAUUAAAAAAUUAAAAUCGACAAAUUCCAUUUUAUGCAUACAGUUAGAGAAAACACAAUAGUGAUGGAAAUAUCAUUAUUCCUGAUUAUACUAUUACACUGUUGCCGUAUCUACUAUCAUACAUUUCCUCAUUCUAACAUCCUCACUCCAAUAAUAAGAAAAAUAAAAAGGAAAAAUUGCGCUAAUCUGCCAGUGUAAUGUCCUUAUUGACGCUGGGACCUGAGCGGCUGAAGGGGGCGAAUAAGCGGACAUUGCCUUCAUCGACAUCGAGGAAGAUCCCGAUGAGGGGCGCCGGGUGGAGGGCGCGGAAGAGGUUGCAGAAGGAUCGGGAGGAGCGGACAGCGCCGAGCCACGAGCGGCAAGUGAGCGUGACGAGGACAAGGGCCGGCAGGCUCGACAGUCGGAGGAAGAUCUCAAGGAGCUGGUCUUGACCGAGCGAGGAUAUGGUGGUGGUUCCGUCGGCGGCGGUAGCUAGGGUAGUGGUAGUGGCCGUGGAGGGAAUCGAUGGAGGUUUCACCGCUGGAGCAUCCGGCGGCAGCAGCAACAGCUUGCUGCUAAUAGCUCAAGCCUCUCCAGGUGUUAACCUACAGGAGAGAGGGGAAAAUGUAAAGAUGAGAUAGUGUUCAUAUUAUUAGGAAGAAGUAGGCCAAUGUAGCUCACAUAAACAGAUCUGCUAGUAUGCAGAACACAAGCACCUGUUAUAGACCUGUUUGCAGUAGGAGCCAAUGGAACUGAAACACAAGUAGGACCUUAACAAACAACAAAAAAUAGAAGGACGACCUUGUGUGGUGGCUGAGGUGCAGAAGGGUGUCCUCCUGGUCAGCUCGGGCAUCCUCCUGCACCAAAUCGAACAGAAAAAGUUUGAAGCAUGUUGAAUAACUAAAAAUACAUGUAUAUAAUUUAGAAGCAACAGAAGCACAUAUAUCUCCUGUUUCUUCCUCAAAGUGUGCAUAUAGACAGGUCAGAUUAUUGAAUGCAUUGUUGCUGUAAAAAAUAUGUUGUUGAUGAAUUUGACUAGAUUUUAGAUAUGUUAAGCGGGGGCAAGAGUUUUCAGUCAAUCAACCUGCUGCAAUAGUACUAACUAGACUAGUCAGGUACGAAUUCGACGGCAAGGAAAUGAACACAAGAAGCAGCAGCAACUCCAAAUUUUGCAGCUUCAUUCACUUUAAAGAUAGCAGCAAUGUGGCACGCUUUGCUAACACCUUGAGAAAUCCAACUAGACCAAUCGGCAAACUAAAUUAUAGUGAAUUUUUGUGGGAGCAAGCAAAAUAAAUAAUUAGCAAACAAUGCAGUCAGUGUCCAUAUUAUUCAACACUAGAGUCUGACCAAGCAGCAAAAAUUCAGUAAAGCAUGUAUGUAUGUAGAUUCAAACUAGAAGAACCUUGACAUUGACAUUGAACUGUUGCUGCUCAUCCAUGGCUGGGCUCCAUGGUCCAUGACACGUAUACAUGUUUCUGGAUCAUGUGACUGCCUAUACUCUACAACCCAGAACUGUUUGCAUCCAUGAUUCCAUGUACCUCUUGGUUUCGACAAACCUGUCAAGGAUCAGAUUUAUGACAGAAACAGGUCAGUCAUGCCAUGUUUCAAGUCAUUUAGUCUACACCAUUUAAAACUUCUGAGUUACUGAACAAAAUCUGAGUAAAUGUUCUAGUUGGAUGUCGAAUUACCCCAUCAAGAGAAGCUGGACAAAGAAGAGUGUUGUGGUGUUGGCGAAAUCAAAUUUUAUGGCACCUGCUUCAAACCAUACUGGUAGGUUGCCGAGUCCUGAUACACGGAUCAGCUACACAGAAACACACCAAUUAGACCAUGUGAUAUGAUAGAAGCACAGCGGAGCAUUAAAGACAUCUAUUUCAUGUUUGAUUUCUGUAAGCAAGGAUGCUUCAAUGUGGAAAGAAUGCUAUCAAUAUUGGAAAAUGAAAUCCUAAGAUGCUCUUAUGGAGCUGAUAUGUUGUAUAUGAUUUUGCUGGCGUUGAGAUUGUAUAGUUCCUGUCUCAUAUCUUGGUUUCUCUUCUUUCUUUUAACAAGAGGGGAUCAUACCACCCUUCCAUUUCCACUAUCAAAAUUCAGAAGUCAUGAUUGGUUUCUCACUCUGUUUUUCAUAGUUUAUCACUUUAUAUCAUAAUUUAGGCACCUCUACAGCUAUUUUUUGCAAAAGCAAGCUUCAGUGCUAUGGUUACUGAGAACAUGCCGGCAUUUUGGAGGAAUUAACAAAGAGGUCAAGUGAGCAGCUUACAUCAGAUUCGAGGAUGCCGGCAACCCCUGCCAUGGCAAACCGGCAGUGCACGAGCUCGGCCUGGACGUACCACUUCAGGUCCUUGGGCUGCUUCCCGAGCCCCAGGGGAUCAGACCCAUAGUCACCAGGCAGCCUACAACGGCAACCACCAAGCAACCCAUCAUCCUAACAAGCAAACAUCGCCACCUGCAGAGAAUGCCGUCAGAGAUUACCAAAUCGAACCGCCAUGCUCCAAGCUCGCUCACGGAUUUCACCUCGAAACACGCACAAAUCAAGCCCCCGCGCUCCAACCUGCAAGCUUGCUCACCGAUUUCACCCGAGCCACGCACAAAUCGAACCCCCGUACAUCCUCCAAUCUCGCCCAUGGAUUUCACUCGAGCCACGCAUGGAUCGAACCCCCUUCAACAUCAACCUGCAGGCAUCAUGGAAGAGCAGGACCUUAAUUAUGUUGGAAAAAAAUGCAUUAUAAUGACUCCGCAUCAAACUAGACUAGGUAGUAGUGUCCGUCCGAUAAUAUCGGAGACAAAAUCAUCGUUGUUGUCACUGGUAAACUGAUUACAGCCGACCUCACUCACUCACUGCUAGGUGAUGGUAGUGAGGAGUAUAUGCUAAUAUCACAGACAAAACCAUCAAUGUUGUUGCUAGUUACAGCCGAACUCACUCGCCAACUCACUCACUGCUAGCGCUAGUAGUACAUUCUGACGGUGAUAGAUAUUACGCCCCGCACCGCAUAUAUAUUUGAGAAGCUGGCUAGAAGCAGAAGCACAGAUCAAUUCCGCUGAACCUGAGAGAGAGAGAGAGAGGCCAUCAUCAUACCUCAGGUGGGUGGGGGCGUGGUCGAGGCAGCGGUGGGGGGCCGGCGACGGCGACGGUGAUGGAGACGGAGACUCCGCGAUGUGUGGAGAGCGGCUUAGAGGGGCGGUGCUGCUUGCGGGUGCGGAGGCGACGACACCAUUACCAGCCUCCGGAUCUGGAGGUGGGGGAGCUCGGGGGAGCCAGGAGGCGGGCAGCGGCGGUGGAUCUGACGAGGGUGCGAGGGAGUGGAGACGCGGACACUGGGAUGUGAUGUGAUGUGUGUCACUUCUGCUGGAAUUUCGCAUGAAAUUCUGCCGCGUGCGUGCGAGGAACUGAUGGAUUUGACUCGGCGAAACCACGACGCCGGCGAGCAGAAACCACGACUGGGAGGAUCCUCACCUGCUCCGGAGGUGGGUGCGGCCGGGCAGGUGGGGGGGCGACGCCGCGAUGACGGCGGCGUGCGGAGGGCAGGGCGGCCGCGGGAGAGGCGAAGUGGGGGCGCCGUGGUGGGACGGGACGGGGGAGGCGAGGUCACAGAAGAAGGGCGACUGGCGCGUCGUGCGGCCGCGGGAGGAGGAGGAGGGGAUCGGAGGUAGAAGGUAGAUUUUUUAGACGGGGUGGGUGGAGUGGGACGACGGUUGGUGGGGUGGGGUGGAUCGGGGGUUGGGAGUGUGGAUUGGGCCGGGGUGGACACGCUUAGUAGUAGCGUGGGGUCUUACCUGCACUACUACUACUUAGUAGUAGCGCCGGUUUUAUACCCCUCGCUACUACUAUGGCCUAUCCCGGGGGCAUUGUUGGAGACCAUUUAGUAGCAGCGCGGGUUUAUACCCCUCGCUACUACUAUCAACUUAGUAGUAGCGUGGUUUUUAUACCCCUCACUACUACUAAUUAGCAGUAGCGCCCAUUUUUAAACCGUGCUACUGAUAAACUUCUGUGUAUAAGGUUUUUCCUAGUAGUGUAUUUAAAACAAAGUGAACAUUUUUCUGGCCUAAAAAUGCAAUUUUGAAAAAUGCAUAUUUUUUAUAAUUCAAAUAAAAUAGGAAUAAAAUCCAAAUAAAAUAUUUAUUUUAUUUUAACAUUUUUCCUCCAAUAUUUCUUUUCUUUUGGAGAAGUCAUUUUAUCUCCUCUCAUUAAUUUUUAUAUUGGAAAUAUUUCAAAGAGAAAAAUUAUUAAAACCAAAGUGAUCCUCCUUUCAAUAUUUGAAAAAAAUCAAAUAUGAAAAUAAAUGAAAUCCCCAACUCUCUCCGUGGGUCCUUGAGUUGCGUAGAAUUUCUAGGAUCGCAAACGAAAUGCAAGUAAAAUAUGAUAUGCAUAUGAUGACCUAUGUAUAACAUUCCAAAUUUGGGAUGUUACAAACCUACCCCCCUUAAGAUGAAUCUCGCCCUCGAGAUUCGGGUUGGCUAGAGAAUAGGUGGGGGUGGUCUUUCCAUAGGUCUUCUUCUCGCUCCCAGGUGGCUUCAUCCUUGGUAUGGUGGCUCCACUGAACUUUGCAAAACUUGAUAACCUUGCUGCAUGUGACUCGGCUGGCAAACUUGAGAAUCUUAACUGGUUUCUCCUCGUAAGUCAAAUCACUAUCCAGCUGAAUUUCUUCAAGGGGCACUGUAUCCCUCAAAGGAAUAUCAGCCAUCUCAGCAUGGCACAUCUUCAACUGAGAAACGUGAAACACAUCAUGAACUCCUGACAGUCCUUUGGGUAACUCCAACUUGUAGGCUACCUUUCCCAUACGCUCCAAAACUCGGUAUGGUCCUACAAAUCUCGGGGCUAACUUUCCCUUAACUCCAAAUCAUUUAACAUCUCGUAGAGGUGACACUCGUAGAUAUGCUUUGUCUCCGAUUUCGUAGACUACUUCCUUGCGUUUGGAGUCUGCAUAACUCUUCUGUCGGGACUGAGCUACCUUUAGUCUAUCUCAAAUCAACUUAACCUUUUCUUAGGAUUCUUUAAUCAAAUCUGGUCCAAACAACUGAUGGUCUCCAACUUCAUCCCACAUCAACGGUGUCCUGCACCUUCUUCCAUACAAAGCUCCGCAGGGUGCCAUCUUCAAACUGGCCUGAUAGCUGUUGUUGUAUGAGAACUCCGUCUAAGGCAAAUUAUCAUCCCAACUAGAUCCAUAAUCUAGCGCACAAGCUCUCAACAUGUCCUCCAGAAUCUGAUUGACUCUCUCGGUCUGCCCAUCUGUCUGUGGAUGAAAGGUUGUACUGAACUCUAGCCUAGUACCCAAAGUCUGGUGCAACUGAUUCCAAAACUUCGAGGUAAACUGUGUUCCUCUAUCUGAUACGAUGGUCCUCGGAAAUCCAAUGCAGACAUACGAUCCUGGUCAUAUAUAUCUUGGCCAACUUCGUAUAGGUGGUUUUCACUGGGAUAAAGUGAGCCACUUUGGUCAAACAAUCCACUACUACCCAAAUAGAAUCGUAUCCCGAUCAGGUCCUGGGUAAUCCGGUGAUGAAAUCCAUGCCAAGCUUGUCCCACUUCCAUUCGAGUAUAGGCAUAGGUUGCAGUAAUCCUGUUGGCUUCUGAUGUUCCGCCUUCACUCUCUGACAUACAUCACAUACUGCCACAUACUCGGCUGUAUCCUUCUUCAUACCAGUCCACCAGAAAUGCUCCUUUAAAUCAAAAUUCAUCUUGGUAUUUUCGGGGUGUAUUGAGUAUGGCGAGUCAUGAGCUUCCUGAAGUAUCAACUUCCUGAUCUCCGUAUUAUUGGGUACAUAUACACGAUCCUCAAACCAUAAUGUGUCAUGCUCAUCCUCACGAAAACCUUUGGCUUUUCCUUUGCUCAUCCUCUCUUUUAUCUUGGCAAUCUCCUUAUCAUCCUUUUGAGCUUCUCGAAUAUUUCCCAACAAUGUUGACUGAACUUCCAUCGCUGCGACAAAACCUCUAGGGACUAUCUCCAAACGAAGUUCCCUGAGAUCUUCGGCCAACUCUUUUGGUAAUCCUCCGCUUAUGAGGGUAUUGGCAUAACUCUUUCGGCUCAAAGCGUCUGCUAUGACAUUGGCCUUGCCUGGAUGAUAGUGCAACUUCAUAUCAUAAUCUUUUAUAAGCUCCAACCAUCUUCUCUGCCUGAGAUUUAGCUCCUUCUGUGUAAAAAUGUACUUCAAACUCUUAUGAUGUAUGUACACAUCACAACGGUUUCCGAUGAGAAAGUGUCUCUAGAUCUUGAGCGCAUGUACUACGGCUACUAACUCCAAAUCAUGUGUGGCAUAAUUCAACUCAUGCGGUCGAAGCUGUCAUGAGGCGUAUGAAACAACUCUUCCAUCUUGCAUAAGUACACCUCCAAGUCCUAAGCAAGAAGCGUCGCAAUACACUUGGAAAUCCUUGCGUAUAUCCAGCAGAAUCAACACUGGGGCUGUAACCAAACGUUUCUUCAGCUCCUGAAAACUUGCCUCACAUUCAUCUGUCCAUUUGAACUUAGUGUCCUUCUUUAACAACUCCGUCAUAUGCUUCACAAUCUUGGAAAAAUUCUCAAUAAAUCUCCGAUAAUAUCCCGCGAGUCCCAGAAAACUGCGGAUCUCUCCUACUGAGGUUGGUGCUAGCCAAUCGGUGACUGACUAAACCUUGGUAGGGUCUACUGCUAUACCUUCUCCUGAUAUAACAUGUCCAAGAAAUCCAACUUCCUUCAACCAAAACUCACAUUUGAUGAACAUGGCAUACAACUAGUUUUCCCUGAGCUUCUCGAGAACUAAAUGCAAAUGUUCCUUGUGCUCCUCUUCAUUCUUUGAGUAUACCAAAAUAUCAUCAAUAAACACCACAACAAACUUAUCCAAGAACUCCAUGAACACCUUAUUCAUCAUACUCAUAAAAUAGGCAAGGGCAUUAGUCAGUCUAAAUGACAUAACUGUGUACUCAUACAGCCCAUACCUUGUGGUGAACGUUGUCUUAGGUAUAUCCUGCUCUCGGAUCUUCAGCUGAUGGUAUCCUGAUCGCAGAUCGAUCUUGGAAAAUACUUUAUCUCCUUGCAACUGGUCAAACAAAUCGUUGAUCAUCGGUAGUGGGUACUUGUUCUUAAUCGUCACUUCAUUCAAUGAAUGAUAAUCAACAACCAUUCUCAGCGUUCCAUCCUUCUUCUCAACUAAAAGUAUUGGGGAUCCCCAUGGUGACGAACUUCGCCGAAUGUAACUUUUCUCCAACAACUCCUUAAUCUGCUUCUUGAUUUCCUCUAGAUCAUUUGCGGGCAUCCGAUAUGGUCUCUUCGAUAUCGGUCCGGUGCCUGGCAACAGCUCUAUCAAAAACUCAAUAUCUUGAUCCGGUGGCAUGCCUGGUAGUUCCUCCGAAAAUACGUCUGGGUAAUCCUUCACUACCGGCACUUCCUCCUGAACAACUCCUGAGAGAGAAUUUACUUGGGUCCAACUUGGCGCAUGCCUGGAUACAUACUUAAUCAUUUUUCCCUCCGGGGUGGUGAGCAUAAUUGACUUAUUGGCACAAUCGAUGUUUUCCCCAUACAUCGAUAACCAAUCCAUGCCCAAUAUCACGUCCAACCCUUGUGACUCCAGAAUUAUUAAAUCUGAGGGGAAAACAUCCCUACCUAUGGUCAACGGCAUCUGAAAACAUCCUUUGCUUGCCAUAUACUCCGCUCCUCGCGAGCUUACUAACAUAGGUGUCCUAAGAACUUUGGUGGGCAACUUAUACUUAUCCACAAAUCCCUUUGAUAUGUAUGAACGUGAUGCACCAUUAUCAAAAAAACGAUUGCGGUAAAUGACUUAACCAAAAACUUACCUAUAACUGCAUCUGGCUACUCUUCAACCUCCUCCACAUUAACGUGGUUCACUUGUCCCCUGUUGAAAGGGUUGGGCUUCUUCCCAGAGCUUCAAUUUCCAUUACCAUUCUUUGCUUAAGAACACUCGGUGGUGUAGUGUCCAUUCUUCCCGCACUUGAAACAAGUAAUGUGACUUAGAUCCUUAUUGGCGGGCGUUGUUGGGUUGGGACGGUUCUGGCUACUGCUUCAUCCAUUCCCAUUCACAUUCUUGUGUCCACUAUGAUUAUGCGAACUUCCUCCAUUGGGACUGUGGCCUCAUGGUUAUGGUGAGUGUGUCCUCCCGAGUUCGGGGUAAAACGAGGUCUCUGCUGAGUUCCUGAAUUGGACUUCCCUUGUCCAUACUUCCUCUUGCGGCUCUCUAUCUGCUGUUGCUUCCCUUCAAUCAUAAGAGCUCUAUCUACCAACUCCUCGUAGUUGUCGAAUGUUGCCACCAUCAAUUGCAUGCUCAGAUCAUCAUUCAGUCCUUCCAGAAACUUCUCCUGCUUAGCGGCAUCUGUAGCAACGUCAUCAGGGGCAUAGCAUGCUAACUUACUAAACUCAUCCACAUACUGGCCCACUGUGCGUCCUCCUUAGCGCAAGUUGCGAAACUCAUGCUUCUUCAUGUUCAUAGCUCCUGCUGUAACAUGCGCAGUGCAGAAAGCCUAUUGAAACUGAUCCCAUGUAACAGUGUCAAUGGGGUAAGUGGCUGUGAAAUUCUCCCACCAUGAUGUUGUGGGUCCAUCAAGCUGAUGUGCGGCAAAACACACUCUCUCCGCAUCUGUUCAUCCUGCAGUGGUCAGCUCCCUUCCAAUCUUGCAGAGUCAAUCAUCUGCCAUAAUCGGCUCGGUGCUACUAGAGAACACCGGUGGAUUUAACCUUAGAAAACAGGCUAAGUGAUCAACAGGCGGUGGUGGUGGUGGGUUGUUAUUGUUGUUGCCUUGGUUCUGAUUCUGAACUAAUAGAUGCAUCAGGGUAUUCUGCUGCUGGAUCAACUGAGUGAGCUCCAGUGGGAAGGCAAAUCCAUUGUCACGUCUCGAAGGCAUCUUAUGGGUUUAUAAAGGGUGAGAAAACAGAAUAAAAUGAGGUCUAAAGGGAAAACACUACCCAUAUGCACAUGAGACAAACACAUUCAUAUCUCACCAAUCAAUUCAAACAAGGGCAUACAAAUGACCUAGCUACCGUUACAAAAGUGCUCGGACUAAUACUAUGUACAUGGGGCGAUACUACUAAUCAUAUGGUGGUCGACUAGAAAUUUUGAUCGGUGGAAGAUUCCAUGAUAUCCGCUCCAACUUCGUCUUUGUAAUCAUCAUCACUACUUUCGGGGUCACAAUCGAUGUCGUUAAUGAUGAUGUAGUCCUGAGAACGGAUGUCCUUGGAAUGGUCGUCAUCUCCUCCUAGCGCGGGGUCUCCCAUGAAUACUCCUAGCUUCCUCGUCAGGUCGUCAUUAUUCUCCACUAGUAUUGUGAUUUCCUCCUCAUAUCCGUCGCGUGCAGACUUGAGUUCCUCUUCUAGCUCCAUGUUCCUGGUCAUCACCUUCUUCAGAUCUAUCAUGCUUGCGCACAUCUAGUUCUCCUGGCGACGAAUCUGCUGGUUUAACUCCUGGAUGAAGGCUGUAAUGGACCUGUCCCUCCUGGUGCUGAUCAUCUCCCAUUGCUCAUCUCGGCGCUCACAUAUCUAGUAGAUAGUGUCAUUAAGAUCCUUGUGAUAAACUUCACCGAUGCUUCCCAUGGUGAUGUGGGUUGCCAUGCUCUUUUCUAGACUCCAGGUUGGUGCAUCAAAGGAAAACUCUAUGGGCUCAGUAACUGGCGUGAAUGUCCUUCCUGGAACUUGAGCUCGAAUCAUCCAACGCUCCUAUUCUAGUAAAGUGGCGGUGUAGGUCCCGGUGAAGCUUGGUAUCCCAAUGUUCAGGUACCUAGUGACUUCCUUCAAGUGUCAUCCAAAAGGUGUGUCUUCAUCCGGUUGUGCAAAAUUGUUCCUUGAGUCUGCCAUCCUAUAGAGUGGAAAAGGGAGAGGAGUCAGAAAUGAGUAGAUUAGAGUGACCUAAGGUUUAACUUAGUGGUCGUGUCCUACAAUCAGCGUGUGCUCUGAUACCAUCUUGUAGCGAUCCGACCUCAAGCAGUCAAAUCUCUAUGCUUACUUAUCAUCCCUGGAUCGGUAAUGCUGACACACACACAGUACUCGAAGGAUUUAUAACAGAGUGCAAUCACGCACUUAUUACAUUAAACGUCUCAAAGAGAACUUAUUACAAUACUAUGGGUUAAGGCCAUCUAAAUAAGAUAACAGCGGAAGGCUUGGAAGAUAAAGUGAGUCCAUCAACUCAAAUGGCAUAGAUGAGUGCAUGUCAAUGACCUAGCGCACCUUACUCUUCGUCUGAAAAAUCUGCAACAUGAUAUGUUGCACCCCGAAAUGGGUCAGCACAUGGAAUAUGCUGGCAAGAUAACACAAUAGAACAAUGAACAGAAUAAAUACUAUCUCUACAUGCAUAUAUGGCUGUGGAGGCUCUAAGUUUAUUUUUGCGUAAAGCCAAUUUUAUCCUGCAACAAAGGAAUAUAUUUUAUUUAACUAUCAUGGUGGUUGUUAAACAUUGAGAAGGUUACUCCAACUCAAUCCCAAUUAAACAGUGUUAAUAACCCAACAAUUUAAUUUUAGACUGAUGAGAUCAACAUGAUAAUCUAAGACCAGAUACUCAAGAUGUCCAUAACCGGGGACACGACUAACCAUGAUUAGUUUGUACACUCUGCAGAGGUUUGCGCACUUUUUCCCACAAGACUCGAUCUCCUCCGUUGGAUAUUUUCGCACUACAUGGUGUUUGAGAAACGGAUGACCGAGACGUAGUCUUUCAGAAACAUUAACUCUUUACUCUGGGUGUACAGUUACACCUACUUUCCCCUACAUCUGCUAGACCACCACUGAAAGAGGUCAUGCAACAUACUCAACUAUGCUAGACCCCAUAAUAGCUUGUGGCUGCACACGGAAGUUUCUAGCAUGAAUAAUCUUAUGAUCCCUUUCUAGCAUGAAUAAUCUUAUGAUCCCUUUCAUCCUGGGUGGCGAACCGUAGGAUGAUCUCACGGGUACUCUGGGAUAUCCUAGGACAACACUGGAUUCUCCAGGUGCCCGCAACCAAUCCACCUAAAUGUGUAUUAAGGUAGCAACCUUAAGUUAACCAUUAAAUAACAACUAUCACAUUUGUCAUGGAUACACUCAACCAAUCCACGUCUACGAGCAUAGCAUGGCAACCUAAGCAUAACUUAGAAGUAACUCCCAAGGGUUUGAUAAUAAAAGGGCAAUAGGUUCUACCUCAUCAUCUACUUCCCAAACCCACAUGUUAAUCAGAUCCUAAUCAUGCAAUGUUUGAGGAUUGGAACUAAUGCAAAAAAACUGGGUAAUAAAAGAUAUGAUCAAGUGUUACUUGCCUUGCUGACGAUCUGCAAACCCUAGAGACUCGUAGUAGCACGCUUCGCACUCCCGGAAUUCUAUCACAAACAAACAAUAGCAUACAUACGCACUCAAGCAUAUAUGCACGAGUAAAACUCAAAUAAGAAGAUCAAAUCUGAAAGUUCACCUGAAGAGCUUCGAUUUGCAAAAAGAAUCAAUCGAAUUGGAGCAACGAAACUCAAACUACGAUCAAAAGGAGUUCAAAUUCAAAUCUGCUUGAAACCAAAUUUUAAUAUGUCAAAACAAUGUUCAAGUUGAUUAACCAGAAAGAGGGGCUCAAGAUGAAGAUUUUGGUGUUGGUUUCACAGGAUUUGGACGAACGGUUGAAAAGUUGCGAGAGUUUGAAUAUCAAGGACUGAUGUGCGAUAAAAAUAAUCACGGAUAAGUCCCUGCUGAUAAAUAAAAUGGAAAAAGAAAAAUCUAUCGGACGAACGUCCGCUAACAGAGGAAAACGAAUGAAUUCGUUCGUUAUAAGAACCAAACGAACGAACGUUCACGGAAUAGAUCUGAACCAAAAAAACCGAUCUACUAAAAAAACGAAUCUAGGGUUUACCGAAAUAAACCGAAGAAAAGCGGAGAAAAACCGGUCGGCGGAGGCAGCGGAUCCGAACAGCGACGGCAGCGGGCGGCGGCGGCGUCAGCGCGGGGCUUNNNNNNNNNNNNNNNNNNNNNNNNNNNNNNNNNNNNNNNNNNNNNNNNNNNNNNNNNNNNNNNNNNNNNNNNNNNNNNNNNNNNNNNNNNNNNNNNNNNNNNNNNNNNNNNNNNNNNNNNNNNNNNNNNNNNNNNNNNNNNNNNNNNNNNNNNNNNNNNNNNNNNNNNNNNNNNNNNNNNNNNNNNNNNNNNNNNNNNNNNNNNNNNNNNNNNNNNNNNNNNNNNNNNNNNNNNNNNNNNNNNNNNNNNNNNNNNNNNNNNNNNNNNNNNNNNNNNNNNNNNNNNNNNNNNNNNNNNNNNNNNNNNNNNNNNNNNNNNNNNNNNNNNNNNNCGGCGUCCGUGCGUAGCACGGCGGCGGGGAAGGCGGCAGCGCGCGGGAGUGGGCCGGCUAGGCUUCGGGCCAGUCGGUCCGGGAAUUGUUUUUUGUAAAAAAAAAUCCGCCAAAGAAAAUCCUAAUAAAAUAUGUAAAAAUUUCUAAAAAUGCCAAAAACAAUUUUGCCGUCUAAAUAAAAUAUUUAGAACAAAGUGAACAUUUUUCUGGCCUAAAAAUGCAAUUUUUAAAAAUGCAUAUUUUUUCUAAUUCAAAUAAAAUAGCAAUAAAAUCCAAAUAAAGUAUUUAUUUUAUUUCAACAUUUUUCCUCCAAUAUUUCUUUUAUUUUGGUGAAGUCAUCUUAUGUCCUCUCAUUAACUUUUAUAUUGGAAAUAUUUUGGAGAGAAAAAUUAUUAAAACAAAAGUGAUCCUCCUUUCAAUAUUUGAAAAAAUUCAAAUAUGAAAAUAAAUGAAAUCCCCAACUCUCUUCGUGGGUCCUUGAGUUGCUUAGAAUUUCUAGGAUCGCAAAGGAAAUGCAAGUAAAAUAUGAUAUGCAUAUGAUGACCUAUGUAUAACAUUCCAAAUUGAAAAUUUGGGAUGUUACAAUCAUCUUGGUUGAGCAUCAUGUCAUGUUUAUGUGUUGUGUGUUUAUCAUGUUGUUUGCUUCUUUCCGGUUAUGCUUCUUCUCGAUAGUUCCUGUUUCGUUGCGAUCGUGAGGAUUCGUUCGUCUAUGCUUGGUUCGUCUUCGCCCGUUCGUCUUCUUCAUGGACUCGUUCUUCUUCCUAGCGGGAUUUCAGGCAAGAUGACCGUCACCUUGGAUCUCACUACUAUCUUUGAUAUGCUGGUUGUCUUGAUGCUAUCGCUAUGUCGCGCUACCUACCACUUGUUUAUCAAGCCUCCCAAAUUGCCAUAUAACAAUAUCUCUUAUUUAAUUAAUGCAUCUAUAUACUUGCUAAAGGGUGGAAGGCUUGGCCUUAUGCCUGGUGUUUUGUUCCACUCUUGCCGCCCUAGUUUCUGUCAUACCGAUGUUAUGUUCCUUGAUUUUGCGUCCCUAACACGGUGACGGGUAUGGGACCCUCUUGACAGUUCGCUUUGAAUAAAACUCUUCCAGCAAGGCCCAACAUUGGUUUUCCAUUUGCCUAAUAACAACUAAAACUUAAAUAGGGGAUUUUCGCUGGGCCCCUAGUUUUCUUAAUCAACCCCCCCCCCCCCGGGGGGCCAGAGGUCCUAUGAGUGUUGGUCCGAACCAAGUAGACUGCGGGGCCACCUCGGGGAAACUCGAGGGUUGGUUUUACUCGUAGGAUGUCUCAUCCGGUGUGCCCUGAGAAUGAGAUAUGUGCAGCUCCUAUAAGGAUUUGUCGACACAUUUGGGCGGUCUUGCUAGUUUUGUUUUACCAUUGUCGAAAUGUCUUGUGCACUGGGAUCCCGAGUCUGAUCGUAUGUCCUGUGAUGGAGGAUUGUAUCCACGGAUCGUGAGCUUAUAAUGGGCUAAGUUGGGACACCCCUGCAGGGUUCAAACUUUUGAGAGUCGCGCCCGCAGUUAUGUGGCGGAUGGGAGUUUUUAAUAUCCGGUUGUAGAGAACUUGACACCAUAUUAGAAUUAAAAUACACCAACCGCGUGUGUACUCGUGAUGGUCUCUUUUUGGGUAAGUUCGAGAAGAGAACACGGUGGGGUUAUGUUUGAACGUAAGUAGUUCAGGAUCACUUCUUGAUCAUUACUAGUUUGCGACCGUUUGCGUAGCUUCUCAUCUUAUUCUUGUACUCGUAAGUUAGCCACCAUACAAUGCUUAGUCGCUUGCUGCAACGUCGCCACUUAUCCAUUCCAUACCUACUAAGCUUUGCUAGUCUUGAUACCCAUGAUAAUGGGAUUGAUGAGUCCUCGUGGCUCACAGAUUACUACAACAACAGUUGCAGGUACAGGUAAUGCGAUGAUCAUAACGUGAGAGCGAUGUAUGCUUGUCUUGGGGUUGUUCUUCUGCUACUUCUUCGUUCAGGGGAUAGGUUCCUGGUCGACAGCCUGGGCUAGCAGGGUGGAUGUUGUUUGAGUUUCCGUUUGUGUUUCAUCCAUAGUCGGAUGUUGUUGUUGUGUAUGAUGUUGUUGUAUUCAUGUGGCAUUUUAUGCUUCUUGUAUUUAUCCCCAGCUAUUAUGUAAUGGUACGAUGUAAUGAUAUCCACCUUGCAAAAGCAUCUCCAAUAUGUGCUUCUAUCCUUGGUGGGACCUUCGAGUUCCUUUAGUGUAGGGUCGCAUAUUGGACAUGACAGGAGGAAAGUAGAACUUGAUGAGGUAAUUGUACCUCCUCUCGAAUUGGAAUGUAGUACAUCAGAGAAAAUAGUUCCCGUGAUGCCUACACCUAACAUAGAGUAAACUAAUGCUGAUGAUCAUGAAGCUUCAGAUCAAGUUACUACAGGACCUCGUAGGUCAAACAGAACACGAACCGCACCAGAGUGGUAUGGUAAUCCUGUACUUGAAGUUAUGUUGUUGGACAACAAUGAACCUACGAACUAUGAAGAAGCUAUGACAAGCCCAGAUUCCGACAAAUGGCUCAAGGCCAUGCUGAGAUAGGAUCCAUGUAUGAGAACAAAGUGUGGACUUUGGUAGACUUGCCCGAUGAUUUCCAAGCCAUUGAGAAUAAAUGGAUCUUCAAGAGGAAGACAGAUGCUCACGGUAACACAUUACUGUCUACAAAGCUCGACUCGUCGCAAAAAGUUUUCGACAAGUUCAAGGAGUUGACUACAUUGAGACCUUCUCACCCGUAGCGAUGCUUAAGUCUGUCCGAACCAUGUUAGAAAAUGCCACAUUUUAUGAUUAUGAAAUUUGGCAAAUGGAUGUCAAAAAUGCAUUCCUUAAUGGAUUUCUUAAAAGAAGAGUUGUAUAUGAUGCAACCAGAACGUUUUGUCAAUCCUAAAGGUGCUAACAAAGUGUGCAAGCUCUAGCGAUCCAUCUAUGGACUAGUGCAAGCAUCUCGGAGUUGAAAUUUACGCUUUGAUGAGGUGAUCAAAGCAUUUGGUGUCAUACAGACUUAUAGUGAAGCCUGUAUUUACAAGAAAGUGAGUGAGAGCUCUGUAGCAUUUAUGAUAUUAUAUGUAGAUGACAUAUUAUUGAUAGGUAAUGAUAUAGAAUUUCUGGAUAGCAUAAAAGGAUACUUGAAUAAGAAUUUUUUAAUGAAAGACCUCGGUCAAGCUGCUUACAUAUUGGGCAUCAAGAUCUAUAGAGAUAGAUCAAGACGCUUAAUUGGACUAUCACAAAGCACAUACCUUGAUAAAGUUUUGAAGAAGUUCAAACUGGAUCAGUCAAAGAAAGGGUUCUUGCCUAUGUUACAAGGUGUGAAAUUGAGUAAGACUCAAAGUCCGACCAUGGCAGAAGAUAGAGAGAAAAUGAAAGUCACUCCCUAUGCCUCAGCCAUAGGUUCUAUUAUGUAUGCCAUGUCGUGUACCAGACCUGAUGUGUGCCUUGCCAUAAGGUUGGCAGGGAGGUACCAAAGUAAUCCAGGAGUGGAUCACUAGACAGGGUCAAGAAUAUCCUGAUGUACCUGAAAAGGACCAAGGAUAUGUUUCUCGUUUAUGGAGGUGAAGAAGAGCUUGUCAUAAAGGUUACGUCGAUGCUAGCUUCGACACAGAUCCGGAUGACUCUAAGUCACAAAUCAGAAACGUAUUUUUAUAAAUGGUGGAGCUGUCAGUUGGUGCAGUUCUAAGAAGAGCGUCGUGGCGAGAUCUACGUGUGAAGCGGAAUACAUUGCGGCUUCGGAAGCAACACAUUAAGGAGUCUGGAUGAAGGAGUUCAUAUCCGAUCUAGGUGUAAUACCUAGUGCAUCGGGUCCAAUGACAAUCUUUUGUGACAAUACUGGAGCAAUUGCAGUAGCAAAGGAGCCCAGAUUUCACAAGAGAACAAAGCACAUAAAAUGGCGCUUCAACUCCAUUCGUGAUUACGUCAAGGAUGGAGACAUAGAAAUUUGCAAAGUACACACGGAUCUGAAUGUGGCAGACCCGUUGACUAAGCCUCUCCCAAGGGCAAAACAUGAUCAGCACCAAGACUCUAUGAGUGUUCGAUUCAUUACUAUGUAAUCUAGAUUAUUGACUCUAAUGCAAGUGGGAGACUCAACGAAAUAUGCCCUAGAGGCAAUAAUAAAGUUGUUAUUUUAUAUUUCCUUAUGUCAUGAUAAAUUUUUAUUAUUCAUUCUAGAAUUGUAUUAACCGGAAACUUGAUACAUGUGUGGAUACAUAGACAAAACAUUGUGUCCCUAGUAAGCCUCUACUAGACUUGCUCGUUAAUCAAAGAUGGUUAAGUUUCCUAGCCAUGUACAUGAGUUGUCAUUUGAUAACGGGAUCACAUCAUUAGGAGAAUGAGGUGAUGGACAAGACCCACCCGUUAGCUUAGCAUAUUGAUUGUUUCAGUUUGUUUGCUACUGCUUUCAUAAUGUCAAAUACAUGUUCUUUAGACCAUGAGAUCAUGCAACUCCCGGUCACCGGAAGAAUGCCUUGUGUGCUAUAAAAUAUCACAACGUAACUGGAUGAUUAUAAAGAUCUCUACAGGUAUCUCCGAAGGUGUCUGUUGGGUUGGUGUGAAUCAAGAUUGGGAUUUGUCACUCUGAGUUUCAGAGAGGUAUCUCUGGGCCCUCUAUGUAUACACAUCAUAAGAAGCCUUGCAAGCAAAGUGACUGGGUCACAGGAUGAUGUAUUACGGAACGAGUAAAGAGACUUGCCGGUAACGACAUUGAACUAGGUAUGAAGAUACCAAUGAUCGAAUCUCGGGCAAGUAGCAUACCGAUGGACAAAUAGAACUGUGUAUGUUGUCAUAGCGGUUCGACCGAUAAAGAUCUUCGUAGAAUAUGUAUGGUCCAAUAUGAGCAUCCAGGUUCCACUAUUGGUUAUUGAUCAGAGAGUCGUCUCCGUCAUGUCUACAUAGUUCUCGAACCCAUAGGGUCCGCACGCUUAACAUUCGAUGACGAUUUGUAUUGUAUGAGUUAUGUGUUUUGGUGACCGUAUGUUGUUCGGAGUCCCAGAUGAAAUCACGGACUUGACGAGGAGUCUCGAAAUGGCCGAGAGAUAAAGAUUGAUAUAUUUGAAGGUUGUAUUCACACACCAGAGUGUUCCGAAAUGUAUCGGGUACAUAUCAAAGUACUGGAGGGGUUACCGGAACCCCUCGGGGAAAGUUAUGGGCCACAUGGGCCGUAGGAGGGAGGCUAGCCAGCCCACUAGGGGUGCCCCCCAUGGAAGGAGGCCAAAUUGGAGUAGGGGAGGGGGCCUCACCCCCCCCCCUUUCCAUCUUCCUCUCCCUCUCCUUCCCCCUUUCCCCUUUCGGUAAAAGUAAAAGAGGGGGGCCGAAUCCUACUAGGACUUGGAGUCCUAGUAGGACUCCUCUCCCCUUGGCGCACGCCCCCUGGACGGCCUCAUCUCCCUCCCUCCUUUAUAUACAGAGGGGGCACCUCUAGUACACAAUAAUUGUUCCUAGCCGUGUGUGGCGCCCCCCUCCACAGUUUACGCCUCCGGUCAUAUUGUCAUUGUGCUUAGGCGAAGCGCCGCAUGGAUCACAUCACCAUCACCGUCACCAUGUCGUCGUACUGACGGAACUCAUCUACUUCCUCGACCCUCUACUGGAUCAAGAGCUCGAGGGACGUCAUCGCGCUGAAUGUGUGCAGAACUUGGAGGUGCCGUGUGUUUGGUACUAGAUCGGUUGGAUCCUGAUCGGAUUGCGAAGAGUACGACUACAUCAACCGCGUUAAUCUAACGCUUCCGCUUUCGGUCUAUGAGGGUACUUGGACACACUCUAUCCCCCUCGUUGCAAUGCAUCUCCUAGAUAGAUCUUGCGUGAUCGUAGGAAAUUUUUUGAAAUCGCAUGCUACGUUCCCCAACAAUUCUUUACCUCUCAACCAUUUCGAGACUCCUCGUCAUGUCCAUGAUAUCAUUCGGGACUCCGAACAACAUUCAAUCACCAAUCAUAUAACUCAUAUAACACUAUAUUGCCAUCGAACGUUAAGCGUGCGGAACCUACGGGUUCGGGAACUAUGUAGACAUGAUGGAGAUGAAUCUCCGAUCCAUAACCAAUAGUGGAACCUGGAUGCUCAUAUUGGCUCCUACAUAUUCUACGAAGAUCUUUAUCGGUCGAACCGUUAUGACAACAUACGCAGUUCUUUUUGUCCAUCGGUAUGUUACUUGCCCGAGAUUCAAUCGUAGGUAUCUACAGACCUAGUUCAAUCUCGUUACUGGCAAGUCUCUUUACUCGUUCCAUAAUACAUCAUCCUGUGACCUAGUCACUUUUCUUGCAAGGCUUCUUAUGAUGUGUAUUACCGAGAGGGCCAAGAGAUACCUCUCUGAAACUCGGAGUGACAAAUCCCAAUCUUGAUUCACACCAACCCAACAGACACCUUCGGAGAUACCUGUAGAGCAUCUUUAUAAUCACCCAGUUACGUUGUGAUGUUUGAUAGCACACAAGGCAUUCCUCCGGUGACCGGGAGUUGCAUGAUCUCAUGGUCUAAAGAACAUGUAUUUGAGAUUAUGGAAGCAGUAGCAAAUAAACUAAAACGAUCAAUAUGCUAAGCUAACGGAUGGGUCUUGUCCAUCACAUCAUUCUCCAAAUGAUAUGAUCCCGUUAUCAAAUGACAACUCAUGUCCAUGGCUAGGAAACUUAACCAUCUUUGAUUAACAAGCUAGUCUAGUAGAGGCUUACUAGGGACACGAUGUUUUGUCUAUGUAUCCACACAUGUAUCAAGUUUCCGGUUAAUAAAAUUCUAGCAUGAAUAAUAAACAUUUAUCAUGACAUAAGGAAAUAUAAAAUAACAGCUUUAUUAUUGCCUCUAGGGCAUAUUUCCUUCAGUAUCCCACUUGCACUAGAGUCAAUAAUCUAGAUUACAUAGUAAUGAAUCGAACACCCAUAGAGUCUUGGUGUUGAUCAUGUUUUGCCCUUGAAAGAGGUUUAGUCAAUGGGGCUGCCACAUUUAGAUCCGUGUGUACUUUGCAAAUUUCUAUGUCUCCAUCCUUGACGUAAUCACGAAUGGAGUUGAAGCGCCGUUUGAUGUGCUUGGUUCUCUUGUGAAAUCUAGGCUUCUUUGCUAUUGCAAUUGCUCCAGUAUUGUCACAAAAGAUUUUCAUUGGACUCGAUGCACUAGGUAUUACACCUAGAUCGGAUAUGAACUCCUUCAUCCAGACUCCCUCAUGUGAUGCUUCCGAAGCCGCAAUGUAUUCCGCUUCACACGUAGAUUCCACCACGACGCUCUGUUUAGAACUGCACCAACUGACAGCUCCACCAAUUAAUAAAAAUACGUAUCCGGUUUGUGACUUAGAGUCAUCCGGAUCUGUGUUAAAGCUAGCAUCGAUGUAACCCUUUACGACGAGCUCUUCUUCACCUCCAUAAAUGAGAAACAUAUCCUUGGUCCUUUUCAGGUACUUCAGGAUAUUCUUGACCGCCGUCCAGUGAUCCACUCGUGGAUUACUUUUGUACCUCCCUGCCAAACAUGGCAGGGCACACAUCAGGUCUGGUACACAGCAUGGCAUACAUAAUAGAACCUACGUCUGAGGCAUAGGGAAUGACUUUCAUUUUCUAUUUAUCUUCUGUCGUGGUCGGACUUUUAGUCUUACUCAAUUUCACACCUUGUAACACAGGAAAGAACCCUUUCUUUGACUGGUCCAUUUUGAACUUCUUCAAAACAUUAUCAAGGUAUGUGCUUUGUGAAAGUCCAAUUAAGCGUCUCGAUCUAUCUCUAUAGAUCUUGAUGCCUAAUAUGUAAGCAGCUUCACCGAGGUCUUUCAUUGGAAAAUUCUUAUUCAAGUAUCCUUUUAUGCUAUCCAGAAAUUCUAUAUCAUUUCCUAUCAAUAAUAUGUCAUCCACAUAUAAUAUCAGAAUUUCUACAGAGCUCCCACUCACUUUCUUGUAAAUACAGGCUUCACCAAAAGUCUGUAUAAAACCAAAUGCUUUGAUAACCUCAUCAAAGCGUAAAUUCCAACUCCGAGAUGCUUGCACCAGUCCAUAGAUGGAUCACUAGAGCUUGCACACUUUGUUAGCAUCUUUAGGAUCGAGCAAACCUUCUGGUUGCACUAUAUACAACUCUUCUUUAAGAAAUCCAUUAAGGAAUGCAGUUUUGAUGUCCAUUUGCCAAAUUUCAUAAUCAUAAAAUGCGGCAAUUGCUAACAUGACUCGGGAAGACUUAAGCAUCACUACGGGUGAGAAGGUCUCAUCAUAGUCAACCCCUUGAACUUGUUGAAAACCUUUUGCGACAAGUCAUGCUGCGUAGACAGUAAUGUUACCGUCAGCAUGUGUCUUCCUCUUGAAGAUCCAUUUAUUCUCAAUGGCUUGCCGAUCAUCGGGCAAUUCCACCAAAGUCCACACUUUGUUCUCAUACAUGGAUCCUAUCUCAGAUUUCAUGGCUUUGAGCCAUUUGUCGGAAUCUGGGCUUGUCAUCGCUUCUUCAUAGUUCGUAGGUUCAUCGUUGUCCAACAACAUAACUUCCAGGACAGGAUUACCGUACCACUCUGGUGUGGUUCAUGUUCUGUUUGACCUACGAGGUCCAGUAGUAACUUGAUCUGAAGUUUCAUGAUCAUCAUCAUUAGCUUCCACUCUAUUAGGUGUAGGCAUCACGGGAACUAUUUUCUCUGAUGUACUACUUUCCAAUUUGAGUGGAGGUACAAUUACCUCAUCAAGUUCUACUUUCCUCCCACUCACUUCUGUCGAGAGAAACCCCUUCUCUAGAAAGGACCCAUUCUUAGCAACAAAGAUUUUGCCUUCGGAUCCGUGGUAGAAGGUAUACCCAAUAGUUUCUUUCGGGUAUCCUAUGAAGACGCACUUCUCCACUUUGGGUUUGAGCUUAUCUAGUUGAAGCCUUUUGACAUAAGCAUCACAUCCCCAAACUUUAGGAAAUGAUAGCUUAGGUUUAUUUCCAAACCAUAGUUCAUACGAUGUCGUCUCAACGGAUUUAACGGUGCCCUAUAUAACGUGAAUGCAACUGUCUCUAAUGCAUAACCCCAAAAUGAUAAAGGAAAAUCAGUAAGAGACAUCAUAGAUCGCACCAUAUCAAAUAAAGUACGGUUACGACGUUCGGACGCACCAUUACGCUAUGGUGUUCCAGGUUGCAUGAGCUAUGAAACUAUUCCACAUUGUUUCAAAUGGAGGCCAAACUCGUAACUCAAUUAUUCGCCUCCGCGAUCAGAUCGUAGAAACUUUAUUUUCUUGUUACAAUGAUUCUCUACUUCACUCUGAAAUUCUUUGAACUUUUCAAAUGUUUCAGACUUGUGUUUCAUUAUGUAGAUAUAACCAUACCUACUCAAAUCAUUUGUGAAGGUCGGAAAAUAACGAUACCCGUCGUGUGCUUCAACACUCAUCGGACCGCAUACAUCGGUAUGUAUAACUUCCAACAAGUCAUUAGCACGCUCCAUUGUUCCGGAGAAAGGAGUUUUAGUCAUCUUGCCCAUGAGGCAUGGUUCGCAAGUAUCAAAUGAUUCAUAAUCAAGUGAUUCCAAAAGUUCGUCAGCAUGGAGUUUCUUCAUGCGCUUUACACCAAUAUGACCUAAACGGCAGUGCCACAAAUAUGUUGCACUAUCAUCAUUAACUUUGCAUCUUUUGGCAUCAAUAUUAUGAAUAUGUGUAUCACUACUAUCAAGAUUCAAUAAGAAUAGACCAUUCCUCAAGGGUGCAAGAACAUAAAAGAUAUUACUCAUAUAAAUAGAACAACCAUUAUUCUCUGACUUAAAUGAAUAAACAUCACGCAUUAAACAAGAUCCAGAUAUAAUGUUCAUGCUCAACGCAUGCACCAAAUAACAAUUAUUUAGGUCUAAAACUAAUCCUGAAGGUAGAUGUAGAGGUAGCUCCCGAUGGCAAUCACAUCAACUUUCGAACCAUUCCCAACACGCGUCAUCACCUUGUCCUUAGCCAGUCUUUGUUUAAUCCGCAGCUCCUGUUUCAACUUACAAAUAUGAGCAACCGAACCAGUAUCUAAUACCCAUGCGCUACUUCGAGGACUAGUAAGAAACACAUUAAUAACAUGUAUAUCAAAUAUAUAUAUACCUUUGUUCACUUUGCCAUCCUUCUUAUCCGCCAGAUACUUGGGGCAGUUCCGCUUCUAGUGACCAUUCCCUUUGCAGUAAAAGCACUCAGUCUCGGGCUUAGGUCCAGACUUGGGUUUCUUCGCGGGAGUGGCAACUUGCUUGCCAUUCUUCUUGAAGUUCCCCUUCUUUCCCUUUCCCUUCUUCUUGAAACUGGUGGUCUUGUUAACCAUCAACACUUGAUGGUCUUUCUUGAUUUCUACCUCCGCUGAUUUCAGCAUCGCGAAGAGCUCGGGAAUUGUCUUACUCCAUCCCUUGCAUAUUAUAGUUCAUCACAAAGCCUUUGAAGCUUGGUGGAAGUGACUAAAGAACUCUGUCAAUAACACUCUCAACUGGAAGAUUGAUUCCCAGCUGAGUCAAGUGGUUGUGGUACCCAGACAUUCCGAGUAUGUUCACUAAUAGAACUAUUCUCCUCCAUCUUACAGCUAUAGAACUUGUUGGAGACUUCAUAUCUCUCAACCCGGGCAUUUGCUUGAAAUAUCAAUUUCAGCUCUUGGAACAUCUCAUAUGCUCCAUGACAUUCAAAACGUCUUUGAAGUCCUGGUUCAAGGCCGUAAAGCAUGGCACACUGAACUAUUGAGUAGUCAUCAGAUCGAGCUUGCCAGACGUUCAAAACAUCACCAUCUGCUCCUGCAGCAGGUCUGUCACCUAGCGGUGCAUCAAGGACAUAAUUCUUCUGUGCAGCAAUGAGGAUAAUCCUCAAGUUGCGGACCCAGUCCGUGUAGUUGCUACCAUCAUCUUUCAACUUAGCUUUCUCUAGGAACGCAUUAAAAUUCAACGGCACGGUAGUAUGGGACAUUGAUCUACAACAUAGAUAUGCAAAAAACUAUAUGACUAAGUUCAUGAUAAAUUAAGUUCAAUUAAUCAAAUACUAAAGAACUCCCACUUAAAUCAACAUCCCUCAAGUUGUCUAAGUGAAACAUGAUCCAUAUCGACUAAAUCAUGUCUGAUCAUCAUGUGGGAUGGAGUAGCUUUCAGUGGUGAACAUCACAUGUUGAUCAUAUCCACUAUAUGACUCAUGUUCGACCUUUCGGUCUCUAGUGUUCCGAGGCCAUGUCUGUGUUGGGAAAUGUGGUAAUUUCAAAAAAAAUCCUACGAUCACGCAAGAUCUAUUUAGGUGAUGCAUAGCAAUGAGAGGGGAGAGUGUGUCCACGUACCCUCGUAGACCGAAAGCGGAAGUGUUUCAAUAACGCAGUUGAUGUAGUCGAACGUCUUCGUGAUCGAACCGAUCCAAGUACCGAACGUACGGCACCUCAGCGAUCUGCACACGUUCAGCUCGGUGACGUCCCUCGAACUCUGGAUCCAGCUGAGGACGAGGGAGAGUUCCGUCAGCACGAUGCCAUGGUGACGGUGAUGAUGAAGUUACCGGCGCAGGGCUUCGCCUAAGCACUACGACGAUAUGACCGAGGUGGAAAACUAUGGAGGGGGCAUCACACACGACUAAAGAUCAACUUGUGUGUCUAUGGGGUGCCCCUUGGCCACGUAUAUAAAGGAGGGGAGGGAAGAGGUGGCCGGCCCAAGGGGGGCGCGCCAGGUGUGGGGAAUCCUACUAGGACUCCCCAGUCCAAGUAGGAUUCCCCUCCUCUUACCUAUUCCUAGUAGGAGAAGGAGGGAAGGAGGAAGAGGGGAGCAGGAAGGAGGGGGGCGCCGCCCUCCUAUUCCAAUUCGGACCAGCCCAUGGGGGGGCGCGCGGCCACCCCUUGAGGCCCUUUCUCCUUUCCUGUAUGGCCCAUUAAGGCCCAUUACUUCCCCCGGUGAAUUCCCGUAACUCUCCGGUACUCCGAAAAAUACCCGAAUCACUCGGAACCUUUCUGAUGUCCGAAUAUAGCCUUCCAAUAUAUCGAUCUUUACGUCUCGACCAUUUAGAAACUCCUCGCCACGUCCGUGAUCUUAUCCGGGACUCUGAACAAACUUCGCUCAAUUCACAUAACUCAUAAUACAAUUCUAGCAUAAAUAAUAAACAUUUAUCAUGAAAUAAGGAAAUAAAUAAUAACUUUAUUAUUGCCUCUAGGGCAUAUUUCCUUCAGUCUCUCUCUUGCACUAGAGUCAAUAAUAUAGUUUACAUCACCAUGUGAUUUAACAUCAAUAGUUCACAUCUGUAUGUGAUUAACACCUAUAGUUCACAUCGCCAUGUGACCAAUAACCAAAGGGUUUACUAGAGUCAAUAAUCUAGUUCGCAUUGCUAUGUGAUUAACACCCAAAGAUUACUAAGGUGUGAUCAUGUUUUGCUUAUGAGGGAAGUUUAGUCAACUGUUCUGUCACAUUGAGAGCCGUAUGUAUUUUGCAAAUAUUCUAUGUCUACAAUGCUCUACACGGAGCUACUCUAGAUAUUUGCUCCCACUUUCAAUAUGUAUCCAGAUUGAGACUUAGAGUCAUCUGGAUCGGUGUAAAAGCUUGCAUCGACGUAACUCUUUACAAUGAACUCUUUAUCACCCCAUAACCGAGAAACAUUUCCUUAGUCCUCAUUAAGGAUAAUUUUGACCGCUAUCCAAUGAUCUACUUCUAGAUCACUAUUGUACCCCAUUGCCAAACUUAAGGAAAGAUACACAAUAGGUAUGGUAGACAACAUAGCAUACUUUAUAGAACCUAUGACUGAAGCAUAGGGAAUGACUUUCAUUCUCUUUCUAUCUUCUGCCAUGGUCGGGCUUUGAGUCUUACUCAAUUUUACACCUUGUAAUACAAAAAAGAACUCCUACUUUGACUGAUCCAUUUUGAACUCUUUCAAAAACAUGUCAAGGUAUAUACUCAUUGAAAAAUCUUAUCAAGCGUCUUGAUCUAUCUAUAUAGAUCUUGAUGCCCAAUAUCUAAGCAGCUUCUCCAAGGUAUUUCAUAGAAAAACUCUUAUUCAGGUAUCCCUUUAUGAUAUCCAGAAAUUCUAUAUCAUUUCCAAUCAACAAUAUGGCAUCCACAUAUAAUAUCAGGAAUGUUACAGAGCUCUCAUUCACUUUCUUGUAAAUACAGGCUUCUCCAAAAGUCUGUAUAAAACCAUAUGCUUUUAUCACACUAUCAAAGCGUUUAUUCCAACUCGAGAGGCUUGCACCAGUCCAUAAAUGGAUUGCUAGAGCUUGCACACUUUGUUAGCACCCUUUGAUCGACAAAACCUUCUGGUUGCAUCAUAUACAACUCUUCUUUCAGAAAUCUAUUCAGGAAUGCAGUUUUGACAUCCAUCUGCCUGAUUUCAUAAAAUAUGGCAACUUAAGCAUUGCCACGGGAGAGAAAGUCUCAUCGUAGUCAACUCCUUGAACUUGUCGAAAACCUUUUGCGACAAGUCAAGCUUUGUAGAUAGCAACACUACUAUCAGCGUCCGUCUUCCUCUUGAAGAUCCAUUUAUUCUUAAUGGCUUGCCGAUCAUCGGGCAAGUCCACCAAAGUCCACACUUUGUCCUCAUACAUGGAUCCCAUCUCAGAUUUCAUGGCCUUAAGCCAUUUCGCGGAAUCUGGGCUCAUCAUCUCUUCCUCAUAGUUCGUAGGUUCAUCGUGGUCUAGUAACAUGACUUCCAGAAUAGGAUUACCGUACCACUCUGGUGUGGAUCGUACUCUGGUUGACCUACGAGGUUUGGUAGUAACUUGAUCUAAAGUUUCAUGAUCAUCAUCAUUAGCUUCCUCACUAAUUGGUAUAGGAAUCACUGGAACAGAUUUCUGUGAUGAACUACUUUCUAAUUCGGGAGAAGGUACAAUUACCUCAUCAAGUUCUACUUUCCUCCCACUCACUUCUUUCGAGAGAAAAGUCCUUCUCUGGAAAGGAUCCAUUCUUAGCAAUGAAUAUCUUUCCUUCGGAUCUGUGAUAGAAUGUGUAACCAACAGUUUCUUUUGGGUAUCCUACGAAGAUACAUUUCUCCUAUUUGGGUUUGAACUUAUUAGGUUGAAGCUUUUUCACAUAAGCAUCGCAGCCCCAAACUUUAAGAAAUGAUAACUUUGGUUUCUUGCCAAACCACGAUUCAUAAGGCGUCAUCUCAACGGAUUUCGAUGGUGCCCUGUUUAACCUGAAUGCAGCUGUCUCUAAUGGAUAACCCAAAAACGAUAAUGGUAAAUUGGUAAGAGACAUCAUAGAUCGCACCAUAUCCAAUAAAGUGCGGUUACGAUGUUCGGACACACCAUUACGUUGUGGUGUUCCAGGUGGCGUGAGCCAUGAAACUAUUCCACAUUGUUUUAAAUGAAGGCCAAACUCGUAACUCAAAUAUUCUCCUCCACGAUCAGAUUGUAGAAACUUUAUUUUCUUGUUAAGAUGAUUCUCCACUUCACUCUGAAAUUCUUUGAACUUUUAAAAUGUUUCAGACUUGUGUUUCGUUAAGUAGAUAUACCCAUAUCUACUGAAAUCAUCUGUGAAGGUCAGAAAAUAACAAUACCCGCCAUGAACAUCAAUACUCAUUCGACCGCAUACAUCAGUAUGUAUUAUUUCCAAUAAGUCAGUAGCUCGUUCCAUUGUUCUGGAGAACGGAGUUUUAGUCAUCUUGCCCAUGAGGCACGGUUCGCUAGCACCAAGUGAUUCAUAAUCAAGUGAUUCCAAAAGUCCAUCAGCAUGGAGUUUCUUCAUGUGCUUUACACCAAUAUGACCCAAACGGCAGUGCCACAAAUAAGUUGCACUAUCAUUAUCAACUUUGCAUCUUUUGGCAUCAAUACUAUGAAUAUGUGUAUUACCACGAUCAAGAUUCCAUAAACCAUAAACAUUGGGUGUAUGACCAUAGAAGGUUUUAUUCAUGUAAACAGAAUAACAAUUAUUCUCUGUCUUAAAUGAAUAAUCAUAUCGCAAUUAACAUGGUCUAAUCAUAUUCAUGCUCAAAGCAAACACCAAAUAACAUUUAUUUAGGUUUAACACUAAUCCUGAAAGUAUAGGGAGUGCUCGAUGAUGAUCAUAUCAAUCUUGGAACCACUUCCAACACACAUCGUCACUUCAUCCUCAACUAGUCUCUAUUUAUUCUAUAACUCCUAUUUCGAUUUACUAAUCUUAACAACCGAACAAGUAUCAAAUACCCAGGGAUUACUACGAGCACUAGUAAGGUACAUAUCAAUAAUAUGUAUAUCAAAUAUACCUUUGUUCACUUUGCCAUCCUUCUUAUCCGCCAAAUAUUUGGGGUAGUUCCACUUCCAGUGACCAUUUUCUUUGUAGUAGAAGCACUCAGUUUCAGGCUUAGGUCCAGCUUUGGGCUUUCUCACGGGAAUGACAACUUGCUUGCCAUUCUUCUUGAAGUUCCCUUUCUUUCCCUUUGCCCUUUUCUUGAAACUAGUGGUCUUGUUUAAUCAUCAACACUUGAUGCUCUUUCUUAAUUUCUACCUUCGUCGAUUUUAGCAUCACGAAGAGCUUGGGAAUCUUUUUUGUCAUCCCUUGCAUACUAUAGUUCAUCAUGAAGUUCCAGUAACUUGGUUAUGGCGACUAGAGAACUUUGUCAAUCACUAUCUUAUCUGGAAGAUUAACUCCCACUUGAUUCGAGUGAUUGUAGUACCCAGACAUUCUGAGCACAUGCUCACUAGCUGAGCAAUUCUCCUCCAUCUUUUAGGCGAAGUACUUGUCAGAGGUCUCAUAUCUCUUGACACGGGCAUGAGUCUAAAAUACCAAUUUCAGCUCUUGGAACAUCUCAUAUGCUCAGUGGCGUUCAAAACGGUUUUUGAAAUCCCGGGUCUUAGUCGUAAAGCAUGGUGCACUAAACUAUCAUGUAGUCAUCAUAUUGAGCUAGCCAAACGUUCAUAAUGUCUGCAUCUGCUCCUGCAAUAGGUCUGUCGCUUAGCGGUGCAUCAAGGACAUAAUUCUUCUGUGCAGCAAUGAGGAUAAACCUCAGAUUACGGACCCAGUCCGCAUCAUUCCUACUAUCAUCUUUCAACUUAGUUUUCUCUAGGAACAUAUAAAAAACAUAGGGAAGCUACAACAUGAGCUAUUGGUCUACAACAUAAUUUACAAAAUACUAUCAGGACUAAGUUCAUGAUAAAUUAAAGUUCAAUUAAUCAUAUUACUUAAGAACUCUCACUUAGAUAGACAUCCCUCCAGUCAUCUAAAUGAUCACGUGAUCAAAAUCAACUAAACCAUGUCCGAUCAUCAUGUGAGAUGGAGUAUUUUUCAAUGGUGAACAUCUCUAUGUUGAUCAUAUCUACUAUAUGAUUCACGCUCGACCUUUCGGUCUCCAGUGUUCUGAGGCCAUAUCUGCAUAUGCUAGGCUCGUCAAGUUUAACCCGAGUAUUCUGUGUGUGCAAAACUAGCUUGCACCCAUUGUAUGUGAACGUAGAGCCUAUCACACCUGAUCAUCACGUGGUGUCUCAGCACGAAGAACUGUCGCAACGAUGCAUACUCAGGGAGAACACUUAUACCUUGAAAUUUAGUAAGGGAUCAUCUUAUAAUGCUACCGCCGUACUAAGCAAAAUAAGAUGCAUAAAAGAUAAACAUCACAUGCAAUCAAAAUAUGUGACAUGAUAUGGCCAUCAUCAUCUUGUGUUCAUGAUCUCCAUCACUGAAGCAUCAUCAUGAUCUCCAUCUUUACCGGCGCGACACCUUGAUCUCCAUCGAAACAUCGUUGUCGUCUCUCCAACUAUUGUUACUAUGACUAUCGCUACCGCUUAGUGAUAAAGUAAAACAAUUACAUGGCGAUUGCAUUGCAUACAAUAAAGCGACAACCAUAUGGCUCCUGCCGGUUGCCGAUAAUUUUGUUACAAAACAUGAUCAUGUCAUACAACAAUUUAUAUCGCAUCAUGCCUUGACCAUAUCACAUCACAGCAGGCCCUGCAAAACAAGUUAGACGUCCUCUACUUUGUUGUUGCAAGUUUUACCUGGCUGCUACGGGCUUCUAGCAAGAAUCGUUCUUACCUACGCAUCAAAACCACAACAAUUUUUCAUCAAGUGUCAUGUUUUAACCUUCAACAAGGACCGGACGUAGCCACACUCGAUUCAACUAAAGUUGGAGAAAUAGACACCCGCCAGCCACCUAUGUGCGUAAGCAUGUCGGUAGAACUAGUCUCAUGAACGCGGUCAUGUAAUGUCGGUCCGGGCCGCUUCAUCCAACAAAACCGCCGAAUCAAAGUAUGACAUGCUGGUAAGCAGUAUGACUAUUAUCGCCCACAACUCUUUGUGUUCUACUCGUGCAUAUAACAUCUACGCAUAAACCUGGCUCUGAUACCACUGUUGGGGAAUGCGGUAAUUUCAAAAAAAAUCCUACGAUCACGCAAGAUCUAUCUAGGUAUACAUAGCAACGAGAGGGGAGAGUGUGUCCAUGUACCCUCGUAGACCGAAAGCGGAAGCGUUUCAAUAACACAGUUGAUGUAGUCGAACGUCUUCGCGAUCCAACCGAUCCAAGUACCGAACGUAUGGAACCUCCGCGAUCUGCACACGUUCAGCUCGGUGACGUCUCUCAAACUCUUGAUCCAGCUCAGGCCGAGGGAGAGUUCCAUCAGCACGACGACGUGGUGAAGGUGAUGAUGAAGUUACCGGCGCAGGGCUUCACCUAAGCACUACGAUGAUAUGACCGAGGUGGAAAACUGUGGAGGGGGGCACCGCACACGGCUAAAGAUCAACUAGUGUGUCUAUGGGGUGCCCCUGGCCACGUAUAUAAAGGAGGGGAGGGAAGAGGUCGCCGGCCCAAGGGGGGGGGCUAGGUGUGGGGAAUCCUACUAGGACUCCCUAGUCCAAGUAGGAUUCCCCUCCUCUUUCCUAUUCCUAGUAGGAGAAGGAGGGAAGGAGGAAGAGGGGAGAAGGAAGGAGGGGGCGCCGCCCCCUCCUAGUCCAAUUCGGACAACCCAUGGGGGAGGGCGCGACCACCCCUUGAGGCCCUUCUCCCCUUUCCUGUAUGGCCCAUUAAGGCCCAUUACUUCCCCCAGUGAAUUCCCGUAACUCUCUGGUACUCCGAAAAAUACCAGAAUCACUCGGAACCUUUAUGAUGUCCGAAUAUAGCCUUGCAAUAUAUCGAUCUUUACGUCUCAACCAUUUUGAGACUCCUUGUCAUGUCUGUAAUCUUAUCCGGGACUCCGAACAAACUUCGGUCAUCAAAUCACAUAACUCAUAAUACAAAUGGUCAUCAAGCGUUAACCGUGCGGACCCUACGGGUUCGAGAACUAUGUAGACAUGACCGAGACACAUCACUGGUCAAUAACCAAUAGCGGAACCUAGAUGCUCAUAUUGGCUCCUACAUAUUCUAUGAAGAUCUUUAUCGAUCAAACCGCAUAACAACAUACGUUGUUCCCUUUGUCAUCGGUAUGUUACUUGCCCGAGAUUCGAUCGUCGGUACCAUCAUACCUAGUUCAAUCUCGUUACCAGCAAGUCUCUUUACUCAUUAUGUAAUACUUCAUCCUGCAACUAACUCAUUAGUCACAAUGCUUGCAAGGCUGAUAGUGAUGAGUAUUACCAAGAAGGCCCAGAGAUACCUCUCUGAAACACAGAGUGACAAAUCCUAAUCUCGAUCUAUGCCAACCUAACAAACACCUUCGGAGACACCUGUAGAGCACAUUUAUAAUCAUCCAUUUACGUUGUGACGUUUGGUAGCACACAAAGUGUUCCUCCAGUAUUCGGGAGUUGCAUAAUCUCAUAGUCUGAGGAACAUGUAUAAGUCAUGAAGAGAGUAGUAGCAAUGAAACUGUAACGAUCAUAAUGCUAAGCUAACGGAUGGGUCAUGUCCAUCACAUCAUUCUCCUAAUGAUGUGAUCCCGUUCAUCAAAUGACAACACAUGUCUAUGGUUAGGAAAUAUAACCAUCUUUGAUUAACGAGCUAGUCAAGUAGAGGCAUACUAGGGACACUAUGUUUUGUCUAUGUAUUCACACAUGUACUAAGUUUCCGGUUAAUAUAAUUCAUGAUAAAUAAUAAACAUUUAUCAUGAAAUAAGGAAAUAAAUAAUAACUUUAUUAUUGCCUCUAGGGCAUAUUUCCUUCAGUAUGUACAUGCUAGGCUCGUCAAGUCUAACCAAAGUAUUCAUCGUGCGUAAAAACUGGUUUACACCCGUUGUAUGUGAACGUAGAGUCUAUCACACCCGAUCAUCACGUGGUGUCUCGAAACGACGAACUAUCACAAUGGUGCAUACUUUAGGGGGAACACUAUUACCUUGAAAUUAAGUGAAGGGAUCAUCUUAUAAUACUACCGUCGAUAUAAGCAAAAUAAGAUGCAUAAAAGAUAAACAUCAAAUGCAAUCAAAAAUAUGUGACAUGAUAUGGCCAUCAUCAUCUUGCGCUUUUGAUCUCCAUCUCCAAAGCAUCGUUAUGAUCUCCAUUGUCACCGGCUUGACACCUUGACCUCCAUCGUAGCGUUGUGAUUGUCUCACCAACUAUUGCUACUACGACUAUUGCUAACUCAUAGCGAUAAAGUAAAGCAAUUACAUGGCGUUUGCACUUCAUACAAUAAAGAGACAACCAUAAGGCUCCUGCCGGUUGUCGAUAAAUUACAAAACAUGAUCAUCUCAUACAAUAAUGUAUAAUUCAUCAUGUCUUGACCAUAUCACAUCACAACAUACCCUGCAAAAGCAAGUUAGACGUUCUCUAUUUUGUUGUUGCAAGUUUUACAUGGUUGCUACGGGCUUCUAGCAAGAACGGUUCUUACCUACGCAAACCACAACGGUGAAUUAUCAAGUUUAUUGUUUUAACCUUCUUCAAGGACCAGCCGCAGUUAAAUUUGAUUCAACUAAAGUAGGAGAAACAGACACCCGCCAAUGUAUCUUCAUUUGUUUGUAAUUUUAAUGUAAUUCUCCUUUUCUUUUGCAGAGGCGGAAACGAUCCUAUGAUUUCCCCAUUUGUUCAACAUUCACUAGUUAUUCUGGAAAGUUUUUCUCAGGUGUUGUGCAACCAAAUAGAGAAGAAAAGUUAACAAGUAUCCUUCCAUCAUGUCAGCAAGUAUUUUUGAGAGAUUUUUCUGAACCUGUGGAUUGCCUCUUGGUGUUGUGCAUCUGUUUUUUCCCUUGCUUCUCUCUGGGCACUUGUCCUUUUCACAUGCCUCUCUGUUCUUUGCUCUUCUCUCUCCCUCUCUCCCAUGGCGUCUGCUCUUUCUUCUUCUCUCUCCCCUCUCCCAUGGCGCCUCCCAGAUUAGUUCUGUGUGUUAGGUGAGAUCUGUGAAUUGGUUAGAGUAGUAGAGUUCGGGCCCUUGUGUAGGAUGCAAGUUGAAGGAGGAUCCUAGGAAUCGCAGUCGCCAGCUGUUUUCUGAUUUUAGUUUUUUUUCUUUGUCAGGUGAUUUGUGUUCCAGAAAAGGGUAAGGAGUGUGGGCGACCGAUCCAGUGGGUUUUUUAUUUUGGUUAGUUAUAUUAGAACCAGGUCAGAUUUUCCAGCCCGACCCAUUUUUUUGGGCAAACAAACAUACAAUUGUCGUAGGUUUAUGGACACACAGCUGUCAAUAUUUGAUUUGUCUAGAAAUUUGAAUGUUUUCCAAUUGUAAAUCAGUCAAAUGCUAAAUAGAUAGUCCCUUCUUUUAAACCAACAAAUUUGCAUCACGCGCGGUUGUGCCCAAACACAAAAUACAUCAGCAAACUUCACACGUGCUUCGCCCUGCCUCUGCCUUCUUCCUCCCAACGAAGCACCGUCCAUUGCGUCGGCCUAUCCCCACCCACGACGACCCCUUGCCGUGGAUCCGCACAUGGCAUCCCCACCCACGACGACCCCUUCCAGUGGAUCUGCGCAUGGAGCAAUGCCAGCGUCGGGCAAGGCAGAUGCGUUGGUGCGGGAACGGAACCCCGAGCAAGAGAGGUCGCACAGCUGCGUGCCGAGGCAGGAGGCUGAGGAGCGGAUGUGUAGACAGCUCAGGGGGACAAGUGAUUAGGAUGAGAGUAUAGGACAAAAAAAUACACAUGAUACAUAAAUAGGGAAAUCUCAAAUUCAUUGUGUAGAUCGGGUACGGGUAUGUGAUUGUGCCUGAAUGAAGCCUUCACACGUACCCAAACCUGACGGGUGUCAUCCCUACUUCCAUGUCAUGGCUAAGAACAGAACAAAUCACUUCAACCCUCCUUUGGUUUGUAGGAUUGUAUGAAUUCUAUAGCAUAGAAUUUUCGAAGGAAACAUUCCUUUGGAGCCAUUUGGUUUAUACGAACGGAUUCUUGUGCCUAUGUAGUAGGAACCAAUCCUUCACAUUUCAAAAUGAAAAAAGCAUUAGCCCAAACUCAAUUAAAAAAUUCCUAUGAUAUGCAUUAAACGACAUUUUUUUUCCUUUUUUAUAGGAAUCAAGAUACAUGUCAUCUCAUUUGACAUGAUUUUCUUAUUCUUGUUCAUAUCUCUUUCGCGUGAUGCACAUAUAUCUGACUUCAAUACACAGGAAAUAUGAAUAAAAUGCCUUCCGCAUGAUGUGCAUAUAUCUGACUUCAAUACACUGGAAAUGCUUCUGGUGGUUCAGUUAAAACCAUACAUCGAUGUAUCAAUGGCAUAUUAUCUGACUUUACACUGUUCUUGUUCUUUUAGUUAUAAGGUGUAUCAGAAUGACUUGCAAUCACAGACGAAGCAUAGAGAUUUGUUGUUCAAAACUUCAAAUGUCUUGCAUGCUUGAUCAAGUUUGCAAUGGUUUCAAAGUAUUCAUGCCCAAUAUAGGGCAUCUGCUGGAGCAAAAGAGUUUCAGGUGAUGAAAAAUAUUCUUUCUUGUGAUGUAAAUCUACUUUUUGUGCGCCCAAUUACCAUCACAAACACAGUAGGUACAUAAAUUUGCACGCACAGAAUAUGUAAAACUAGGUUCCGUGAACCAAAAUGUUUAAAGAAACUCUGCAUAAGCAUCUCUGAAACAUCCAACAGAACAAACACGAUAUGAUAUUUAAGGUAUCUCAGACGCGGCACACAGAUAUUGCACAGAAAACAGUUAUGAACUUCAGAUGCUCCAAAAUCAGGCUAACCCUUCAUAAUACCAGAAAGCUAAAGCUUCAUGUCAGACCUUCACUUCUUGGCCUUGGCCUUCUUUGGUGCCCUGUAAACGAUGCAAAUUGGAGAAGGUAAGAUAAAACGGAACGAAACACAUUAACUAUGUGGAGAAAGAUUUCGGAUGGAGAUGCUUACGCUGCUGCCGGAGCUGGAGCUGCAGCCGCUGGUGCUGGUGCAUGAUCUCUGGGGCCCUGUUUGCCAAAUAGUACCAAGUCAACCAAAUUGGUCUAACAACAAAAACCUUGCUGGAUAGCAGUAGCAAGUAACAAAAUUUAAUCAAGUACAAAUAGCUUGCUACAUUCAACACGAACAUCCAGCUCUGAACGGUCUGUUAUCUAAGAUCAACAGACAAAUUUCACCAAGUAUAGCAAGCCCCACAAUGGUAGUAAAAGAUGAUAAUAAGAUUUCUAAUUUCUCAGGUAACAUGUGUAAACAUCAAGUAUUUCAGAAUUCAAUAUAGUGCAUAGACAGGCUAGGUGAAAACAUCAUCUUACCUGAGCCAAUCUCUCCUCCCUCCUGGCAUGCUUCCUCUCCCUGCUAGCCUUGCUCUUGGCGCGCUUCGCCUCAAACUGAUCAGAGAGGGUCUUCUCUCUUGCCUUCUCAGCCUUGGACUUGUGGAUACUCUCCAUGAGGACCCUCUUGUUCUUGAACAUGUUACCCUUGACCUUCAGGUACAUGUCAUGGUACAUGUGCUUGUCGAUCUUCUUGGCCUCACGGUACUUGCGCAG
rnacentral:lncRNA from 1 species